AGCAGUCGCCACGGGAAUACGGAGGGUGCAAGCGUUAAUCGGAAUUACUGGGCGUAAAGCGCACGCAGGCGGUUUGUUAAGUCAGAUGUGAAAUCCCCGAGCUUAACUUGGGAACUGCAUUUGAAACUGGCAAGCUAGAGUCUUGUAGAGGGGGGUAGAAUUCCAGGUGUAGCGGUGAAAUGCGUAGAGAUCUGGAGGAAUACCGGUGGCGAAGGCGGCCCCCUGGUCCAUAACUGACGCUGAGGCGCGAAAGCGUGGGGAGCAAACAGGAUUAGAUACCCGAGUAGUCCCUGUCUCUUAUAC
rnacentral:rRNA from 1 species